rnacentral:rRNA from 1 species
GAUGAACGCUGGCGGCGUGCCUAAUACAUGCAAGUCGAGCGAACGGACGAGAAGCUUGCUUUUCUGAUGUUAGCGGCGGACGGGUGAGUAACACGUGGAUAACCUACCUAUAAGACUGGGAUAACUUCGGGAAACCGGAGCUAAUACCGGAUAAUAUUUUGAACCGCAUGGUUCAUAAGUGAAAGACGGUCUUGCUGUCACUUAUAGAUGGAUCCGCGCUGCAUUAGCUAGUUGGUAAGGUAACGGCUUACCAAGGCAACGAUGCAUAGCCGACCUGAGAGGGGGAUCGGCAACACUGGAACUGAGACACGGUCCAGACUCCUACGGGAGGCAGCAGUAGGGAAUCUUCCGCAAUGGGCGAAAGCCUGACGGAGCAACGCCGCGUGAGUGAUGAAGGUCUUCGGAUCGUAAAACUCUGUUAUUAGGGAAGAACAUAUGUGUAAGUAACUGUGCACAUCUUGACGGUACCUAAUCAGAAAGCCACGGCUAACUACGUG